rnacentral:rRNA from 1 species
AGAGUUUGAUCAUGGCUCAGGAUGAACGUUGGCGGUGUGCCUAAUACAUGCAAGUCGAACGAAGUUGAUAGCAAUAUUAGCUUAGUGGCGAACGGGUGAGUAACGCGUUGGUGAUCUGCCUUGAAGUGUGGAAUAACGUUUCGAAAGGAACGCUAAUACCGCAUGUGCUCUCGAUUUUCAGAAAGUUGAGAGUAAAGGAUUUAUUCGCUUCAAGAGGAGCCUGCGUCCCAUCAGCUGGUUGGUAGGGUAACGGCCUACCAAGGCUAUGACGGGUAGGGGACCUGAGAGGUGGCCCCCACAAUGGAACUGAAACACGGUCCAUACACCUACGGGUGGCAGCAGUAGGGAAUAUUAGAAAUGGACGAAAGUCUGAUCUAGCAACACCGCGUGUGCGAAGAAGGCCUUCGGGUCGUAAAGCACUUUUUGGAAGGAAUAGGGAGGAAUGUACUUCCAGAAUAAGUCCCGGCUAACUACGUG